rnacentral:rRNA from 1 species
GACGAACGCUGGCGGCGUGCCUAAUACAUGCAAGUCGAGCGAAGAGGCGGCUGGGUGAGUAACGCGUGGGUAACCUGCCCUUAAAUCUGGAAUACCAUUUGGAAACAGAUGCUAAUACCAGAUACUAAGUGAUGGACCUGCGAUGAAUUAGCUAGUUGGUAAGGUAACGGCUUACAAAGGCGAUGAUGCAUAGCGGAGUUGAGAGACUGAUCGGCCACAUUGGAACUGAGACACGGCCCAAACUCCUACGGUAGGCAGCAGUAGGGAAUAUUCCACAAUGGACGAAAGUCUGAUGGAGCCACGCCGCGUGAGUGAAGAAGGUUUUCGGAUCGUAAAGCUCUGUUGUUGGUGAAGCGGUAAUCAACCAGAAAGUCACGGCUAACUACGUGCCAGCAGCCGCGGUAAUUC